GGAGCUUGCUCCUGCUGACGAGCGGCGGACGGGUGAGUAACGCGUGGGAAUCUGCCCAUAGGUGGGGGAUAGCCCGGAGAAAUCCGGAUUAAUACCGCAUAGUACCUGAGGGUUAAAGCAGGGGAUCUUCGGACCUUGCGCCAAUGGAUGAGCCCGCGUCAGAUUAGCUAGUUGGUGAGGUAAUGGCUCACCAAGGCGACGAUCUGUAACUGGCCUGAGAGGGUGGUCAGUCACACUGGAACUGAGACACGGUCCAGACUCCUACGGGAGGCAGCAGUGGGGAAUAUUGGGCAAUGGGCGCAAGCCUGACCCAGCCAUGCCGCGUGUGUGAAGAAGGCUUUCGGGUUGUAAAGCACUUUAAGUUGGGAGGAAGGUUCGAUAGUUAAUACCUGUCGGAAUUGACGUUACCAACAGAAUAAGCACCGGCUAAUUCCGUGCCAGCAGCCGCGGUAAUACGGAAGGUGCGAGCGUUAAUCGGAAUUACUGGGCGUAAAGCGCACGUAGGUGGUUUGUUAAGUUGGAUGUGAAAGCCCAGGGCUUAACCUUGGAAUUGCAUCCGAUACUGGCAGACUAGAGUACAGUAGAGGGAGGUGGAAUUUCCGGUGUAGCGGUGAAAUGCGUAGAGAUCGGAAGGAACACCAGUGGCGAAG
rnacentral:rRNA from 1 species